rnacentral:rRNA from 1 species
CCUACGGGAGGCAGCAGUGGGGAAUAUUGGGCAAUGGGGGAAACCCUGACCCAGCAACGCCGCGUGAAGGAAGAAGGUUUUCGGAUUGUAAACUUCUGUCCUUGGUGAAGAGAAGAAGACGGUAGCCAAGGAGGAAGCCCCGGCUAACUACGUGCCAGCAGCCGCG